rnacentral:rRNA from 1 species
UUGAACGCUGGCGGCAUGCCUUACACAUGCAAGUCGAACGGUAGAGGGGCAACCCUUGAGAGUGGCGAACGGGUGAGUAAUAUAUCGGAACGUGCCCAGUCGUGGGGGAUAACGCAGCGAAAGCUGCGCUAAUACCGCAUACGAUCUAUGGAUGAAAGCGGGGGAUCGCAAGACCUCGCGCGAUUGGAGCGGCCGAUAUCAGGUUAGGUAGUUGGUGGGGUAAAAAGCCCCAC